rnacentral:rRNA from 1 species
GACCGCCUACGGGACGCAGCAGUGGGGAAUAUUGGGCAAUGGGCGAAAGCCUGACCCAGCAAUGCUGCGUGAAUGAAGAAGGUCUUUGGAUUGUAAACUUCUUUUGUACGGGACGAAGAAAGUGACGGUACCGUAAGAAUAAGCCACGGCUAACUACGUGCCAGCAGCCGCGGUAAUACGUAGGUGGCAAGCGUUAUCCGGAUUUACUGGGUGUAAAGGGCGAGUAGGCGGGAUUGCAAGUCAGAUGUGAAAACUAUGGGCUCAACCGA